rnacentral:ncRNA from 1 species
UCUCAAUCAACCGAGACUGGUUGUACCUAGCGGUACAUUAAAAGGGAAUCGUGUGUAAAUCACGAACUGUCGCGCAACUGUAAGUAACAUCCAAAGGCUAUUGCCCUUGUGUUCCACUGUCCUGAUCGAAAUCAGGAUGGGAAGGACGGCAAAAGCUGUUACAAGUCAGGAGACCUGCCUUUCUCGAAUUGACGGU